CCUACGGGAGGCAGCAGUGGGGAAUAUUGGGCAAUGGGCGCAAGCCUGACCCAGCAACGCCGCGUGAAGGAAGAAGGCUUUCGGGUUGUAAACUUCUUUUGUCAGGGACGAAGCAAGUGACGGUACCUGACGAAUAAGCCACGGCUAACUACGUGCCAGCAGCCGCGGUAAUACGUAGGUGGCAAGCGUUGUCCGGAUUUACUGGGUGUAAGGGGCGUGUAGCCGGGAAGGCAAGUCAGAUGUGAAAUCCGGAGGCUUAACCUCCGAAUUGCAUUUGAAACUGUUUUUCUUGAGUACUGGAGAGGCAGACGGAAGUCCUUGUGUAGCGGUGAAAUGCGUAGAUAUAAGGAGGAACACCAGUGGCGAAGGCGGUCUGCUGGACAGCAACUGACGGUGAGGCGCGAAAGCGUGGGGAGCAAACAGGAUUAGAUACCCGAGUAGUC
rnacentral:rRNA from 1 species